rnacentral:rRNA from 1 species
UUGAAGAGUUUGAUCAUGGCUCAGAUUGAACGCUGGCGGCAGGCCUAACACAUGCAAGUCGAGCGGUAGCACAGAGAGCUUGCUCUCGGGUGACGAGCGGCGGACGGGUGAGUAAUGUCUGGGAAACUGCCUGAUGGAGGGGGAUAACUACUGGAAACGGUAGCUAAUACCGCAUAACGUCGCAAGACCAAAGUGGGGGACCUUCGGGCCUCAUGCCAUCAGAUGUGCCCAGAUGGGAUUAGCUAGUAGGUGGGGUAACGGCUCACCUAGGCGACGAUCCCUAGCUGGUCUGAGAGGAUGACCAGCCACACUGGAACUGAGACACGGUCCAGACUCCUACGGGAGGCAGCAGUGGGGAAUAUUGCACAAUGGGCGCAAGCCUGAUGCAGCCAUGCCGCGUGUGUGAAGAAGGCCUUCGGGUUGUAAAGCACUUUCAGCGGGGAGGAAGGCGAUAAGGUUAAUAACCUUGUCGAUUGACGUUACCCGCAGAAGAAGCACCGGCUAACUCCGUGCCAGCAGCCGCGGUAAUACGGAGGGUGCAAGCGUUAAUCGGAAUUACUGGGCGUAAAGCGCACGCAGGCGGUCUGUCAAGUCGGAUGUGAAAUCCCCGGGCUUAACCUGGGAACUGCAUUCGAAACUGGCAGGCUAGAGUCUUGUAGAGGGGGGUAGAAUUCCAGGUGUAGCGGUGAAAUGCGUAGAGAUCUGGAGGAAUACCGGUGGCGAAGGCGGCCCCCUGGACAAAGACUGACGCUCAGGUGCGAAAGCGUGGGGAGCAAACAGGAUUAGAUACCCUGGUAGUCCACGCCGUAAACGAUGUCGAUUUGGAGGUUGUGCCCUUGAGGCGUGGCUUCCGGAGCUAACGCGUUAAAUCGACCGCCUGGGGAGUACGGCCGCAAGGUUAAAACUCAAAUGAAUUGACGGGGGCCCGCACAAGCGGUGGAGCAUGUGGUUUAAUUCGAUGCAACGCGAAGAACCUUACCUGGUCUUGACAUCCACAGAACUUUCCAGAGAUGGAUUGGUGCCUUCGGGAACUGUGAGACAGGUGCUGCAUGGCUGUCGUCAGCUCGUGUUGUGAAAUGUUGGGUUAAGUCCCGCAACGAGCGCAACCCUUAUCCUUUGUUGCCAGCGGUCCGGCCGGGAACUCAAAGGAGACUGCCAGUGAUAAACUGGAGGAAGGUGGGGAUGACGUCAAGUCAUCAUGGCCCUUACGACCAGGGCUACACACGUGCUACAAUGGCAUAUACAAAGAGAAGCGACCUCGCGAGAGCAAGCGGACCUCAUAAAGUAUGUCGUAGUCCGGAUUGGAGUCUGCAACUCGACUCCAUGAAGUCGGAAUCGCUAGUAAUCGUAGAUCAGAAUGCUACGGUGAAUACGUUCCCGGGCCUUGUACACACCGCCCGUCACACCAUGGGAGUGGGUUGCAAAAGAAGUAGGUAGCUUAACCUUCGGGAGGGCGCUUACCACUUUGUGAUUCAUGACUGGGGUGAAGUCGUAACAAGGUAACCGUAGGGGAACCUGCGGUUGGAUCACCUCCUU